rnacentral:rRNA from 1 species
AUUGAACGCUGGCGGCAGGCCUAACACAUGCAAGUCGAACGAGUGGCGGACGGGUGAGUAAUUUCUGGGAAACUGCCUGAUGGUGGGGGCUAAAUACUGGAAACGGUAGCUAAUACCGCAUACCAUCAGAUGUGCCCAGAUGGGAUUAGUGAGUUGGUGGGGUAACGGCGCACCAAGGCGACGAUCACUAGCUGGUCUUAGAGGCUGACCAGCCACACUGGAACUGAGACACGUUCCAGACUCCGACGGGAGGCAGCAGUGGGGAAUAUUGCACAAUGGGCGCAAGCCUGAUGCAGCCAUGCCGCGUGUAUGAAGAAGGCCUUCGGGUUGUAAAGUACUUUCAGCGGGGAGGCGUUACCCGCAGAAGAAGCACCGGCUAACUCCGUGCCAGCAGCCGCGGUAAUUC